AGUGAACGCUGGCGGUAGGCCUAACACAUGCAAGUCGAACGGCAGCACAGUAAGAGCUUGCUCUUACGGGUGGCGAGUGGCGGACGGGUGAGGAAUACAUCGGAAUCUACUUUUUCGUGGGGGAUAACGUAGGGAAACUUACGCUAAUACCGCAUACGACCUACGGGUGAAAGCAGGGGAUCUUCGGACCUUGCGCGAUUGAAUGAGCCGAUGUCGGAUUAGCUAGUUGGCGGGGUAAAGGCCCACCAAGGCGACGAUCCGUAGCUGGUCUGAGAGGAUGAUCAGCCACACUGGAACUGAGACCCGGUCCAGACUCCUACGGGAGGCAGCAGUGGGGAAUAUUGGACAAUGGGCGCAAGCCUGAUCCAGCCAUACCGCGUGGGUGAAGAAGGCCUUCGGGUUGUAAAGCCCUUUUGUUGGGAAAGAAAUCCAGCCGGCUAAUACCUGGUUGGGAUGACGGUACCCAAAGAAUAAGCACCGGCUAACUUCGUG
rnacentral:rRNA from 1 species